GACGAACGCUGGCGGCGUGCUUAACACAUGCAAGUCGAACGGUGAAGCGCCUUCCUUUUUGGUGGGUGUGGAUGAGUGGCGAACGGGUGAGUAACACGUGAGUAACCUGCCCCCUUCUUCUGGAUAACCGCAUGAAAGUGUGGCUAAUACGGGAUAUUCUGGGUCUGUCGCAUGAUGGGUCUGGGAAAGAUAUUGUUUCGGUGGGGGAUGGGCUCGCGGCCUAUCAGCUUGUUGGUGGGGUGAUGGCCUACCAAGGCGGUGACGGGUAGCCGGCCUGAGAGGGUGGACGGUCACACUGGGACUGAGACACGGCCCAGACUCCUACGGGAGGCAGCAGUGGGGAAUAUUGCACAAUGGGCGCAAGCCUGAUGCAGCGACGCCGCGUGAGGGAUGGAGGCCUGCGGGUUGUGAACCUCUUUCGCCAGUGAAGCAAGCCUGCCUCGUGUGUGGGUGGGUUGACGGUAGCUGGAGAAGAAGCGCCGGCUAACUACGUG
rnacentral:rRNA from 1 species